rnacentral:rRNA from 1 species
AGUGAACGCUGGCGGCAGGCCUAAUACAUGCAAGUCGAACGGCAGCACAGCAGAGCUUGCUCUGUGGGUGGCGAGUGGCGGACGGGUGAGGAAUACAUGGGAAUCUGCCCAGUCGUGGGGGAUAACGUAUGGAAACGUACGCUAAUACCGCAUGCGCCCUAAGGGGGAAAGCCGGGGACCGCAAGGCCUGGCGCGAUUGGAUGAGCCCAUGUUCGAUUAGCUAGUUGGCGGGGUAAAGGCCCAUCAAGGCGACGAUCGAUAGCUGGUCUGAGAGGAUGAUCAGCCACACUGGAACUGAGACACGGUCCAGACUCCUACGGGAGGCAGCAGUAGGGAAUAUUGGACAAUGGGGGCAACCCUGAUCCAGCCAUGCCGCGUGAGUGAAGAAGGCCCUCGGGUUGUAAAGCUCUUUUGUCCGGAAAGAAAGCAAUCGGUUAAUACCCGGUUGUUCUGACGGUACCGGAAGAAUAAGCACCGGCUAACUUCGUGCC